rnacentral:misc_RNA from 1 species
GAUGAAGAACGUAGCGAAAUGCGAUACUUGGUGUGAAUUGCAGAAUCCCGUGAACCAUCGAGUCUUUGAACGCAAGUUGCGCCCGAAGCCAUUAGGCCGAGGGCACGCCUGCCUGGGCGUCACACGUCGUUGCCCCCCCAUCUACUCCUUCGGGAUUGCGGGGGGCGGAUGAUGGCCUCCCGUGCGCCUCGUCGCGCGGUUGGCAUAAAUGCCAAGUCCUCGGCGACGCACGCCACGACAAUCGGUGGUUGCGAAACCUCGGUUGCCCGUCGUGUGCGGUCGUCGCGCAUCGAGGGCUCGAAAAAAUUGCCGGGCUCCGGCUCGGCUUUCAACGCGACCCCAGGGCAGGCGGGGUUACCCGCUGAAUUUAAGCAUAUCAAUAAGCGGAGGA